CAGCUUUAAUCGCCAUCCCCCCGCCUCCCCAUGUUGAUUUUCAUUGACUGAUAUUGAUUGAAUGGACAGAAAAGAAAAAAAAGGAGAGCAACCCCCCCCCCCCCACCCCGGUAGACCAAGAAAGCCCUCCCCCCUGAUGUCUCUCGAGAACGAAGAAAUAAGAACGAGGGAGGGAGGAGAGGGAGGAAGUUCCUCAGAUUCUGGCAACCUUGUAAGUUCCUCAGAAGUUAAAUUUAUUGCUGCAGCCGGGAGGCGAGCAGAAGGAGAGCCAGAGAUGGCUGGCGACGAAGCUGAGACAGAUGAAGGAGGCGUCGGAGAUGGUCACCGGGCCCAAGUGGAAGAACUUCAUCAGGAGGAUUAGCGAGUAUAUAUUUCCACAAGAAAUACAGGAACCAGUUUUCAGUACGAUCCUCAAAGCCAUGCUCUCAACUUCGUUCGAUGACGGAGCUGGGGAAGACGACGAUGGCUACAUCUUAGGCUAUUCUUCAAAGUUUUUCGCUUCUCUAUCCGGUGAACAACGGAGAGCAGCGCUGGGUUGUGAUGAUUGUUGUUUCUCCGAGGAUUGCCGCUACAUGUUUGGUGUUUCCGACUACACAUGGUGCGUGCUAAUGAUGGGGUGGUUUAUUCCUUCUCUUGUUUAUGACAUCAUUUAAUGAAGUUUUUGUUGAUUCACGGGUUUUUUGUACUCGAUUCACAAGCUUUUGUUGGCAGGUUGAUGAUUCACAGGUUUUGUUGCCAGGUUAAUGAUUCGAUUUAUGUCUAGUAUUUUUAUAAAAUUUAUGUCUCUGAUUCACAAAUUAUAUGGUAUGUUGAUUCUCACGUUCUGUACUUAGGAUGUUCUUUCUUGCGAGAUCUCGUUAUUGGAUCUUACGAUUUUUAACAAAAAAAAUAAAAAUAAAAUAAAUUUGAGUCUGAUCUAUCGUGACUGCGUAAGAGUGUUUGAACACGAGAAUUCAUGCCACCCAUCACUCCUGCUGAUCACUGGACAACCGAGGGACUUUCACACGUUGUGUACUCGAUUUUAUGUUUACUCCAUCUAGGUUCGGCUCUAAUUUCUGCAGUUCAUCAUCUCCAGGUCUUAGCGUAUCUUUCUUUUUUUGGGGAAAUAUUUUUAGGUUUUUUUAUAAAAUUUUUGAAUCUUUUUUGUGAAAUUUAGAUAUAAAAUUUUUAGGGGUUUUUUUUACGAAAUUUUUAAUUCUUUUUAUAAAAUUUAGGUAUUUUUGAAUAUUUUUAAUUUUUAAAUGAAAUUUUUAGGUAUUUUUAUGAAAUUUAAGUUUUUUUUAAUAUUUUUAGAUAUUUUAUGAAGUUUUUAGAUAGUUUUAUAAAAUUUAUGUUUUUAAUGAAAUUAGGCUUAUUUUUGUUUCAAUUUUUUUUUAUCAAUUAAAAAUUAAAAGUCAUAUUUAUGCAUUAAACAUAAUUUGAUAUUGAUAUGAUUUUUUAAUAUAAAAUAAUAUUUUACGUAAAGAUUUAAAAUAAUAUUUUUUAAUAAUUUAAAUAUUAAAUAUUUUAUUUUUUAGUUAUUAAUAUGACAUAAAUUUAAAAUUUAAUUAAUUAAUUAAUUAAUUGAUAUGGCAGACAUUCAGAAUUGAGUUUAUGGAUGAAAUAGUUUAAUUAAUUAAUUAAAAAGAUGGGCUCGCCGAACCAAACCUUCUCUCAUUUGCCGUGACCCAAUCUGAAUAAUUUCAUUUGCCCAGCGUUAUUCACCGAACCUCUGCUCAACUAAUUUCUCAAGUAAAUUCCGCUACAUGGUGGGGGAAUAACUUUAAUAUAUGGUUGCCAGCUUCUGCUCACGGCUCCUUUUAUUAUGAACCACUCCUUUGACGCAUUUUCAUGCUCACUGGUCAAUAAUUGCGUCCGAGAAUCCCACUUUCUCUGGAGAGGAGAAGCAAAGUUCUUCAGAUUCUGGCACCCUUACAUGCAAACUGCCAUUGAGUCCCAGAACUCGACACUCUCGAGUCAAGGAAAGAAGAACAAGGGAGGGAGGGAGGGAGAGGGAGGGGAGAAGAAGCAAGAAGGUCCUCAGAUUCUGGCAACCUUCAUGGAGACAGUUUCUUGGGACAGCAGAUCUGGACGAAUCCUUUGACGCUUUAUUUAUCAUGCUCCCUAGUCAAUAAUUGCAUCCUCCCAUAGACAUACGAACUGCCAUCAAGUCCCAGAAUUGGACGCUCUCUGGAGAGGAGAAGCAAGAAGUUCUUCAGAUUCUGGCAACCUUAACUCGACACUAUCUCUUGAGUCAAGGAAAGAAGAACAAGGGAAGGAGAGAGAGAUAGAGAGGGGAGAAGCAAGAAGUUCCUCAGAUUCUCUGGCAACCUUCAGCGGGAAAGGAGUCUCUAGCUUGCUCUCCAUUAGCAGCGGGAAAGGAGUCUCUAUCUGCCUAGCUUUGGUGGAUUUCCUCCAACGCAAUCCAUAGAAGUUAGAAAGGUUUUGAUGACUCAAGGCGAGCAGAGUUAGGGAAAGGAGAGUGAGGGGAAGAGGGUGCAGCCCUCGGCCCGAUCAUCCAUUUCACCAAACUCUAUACACAACAUGUCAUUAUUUGUAAUUUUCCCAUCUAAUAGUUUGGAGCCACAAAAGGCACUGGACCGAUCAAAUCUUCAAAUCUUAGUCAAUUGAAGUCAAUUCCAUCCAUUAGACUAGCCUCGGGAACUAAUUCCAAUUGAAAGGUGAUAUAAAAUCGAUCUAUUUCCAAAUUCCAAUUGAAAGGUGAUAUAAAAUCGAUCUAUUUCCAAUAUCAUAUCUAUAGUUAUUGCAUUCAUCUUAGUAGCCCCAGCUCUAACUCAAUAUCAAGAUCAUGAUCGCAACAUAAUUGUUGUCCCAGCUCCAACUCAACAUUAAGAUCAUGAUCGCAACAUAAUUGUUGUCCAAUGUGGGCAACAAAUCAAUUCCCUUUCUAUCAAUUUCAUUUCUUUUCAUUCUCCUUUUAGGUUAAUGUUUUAAAUACUUUAAAAUAACUCAUUUGCAUCUUAGUUUUAAACACUUUAAAAUAUCUCAUUAAGCUCUUUAAGUCACCCAAUGUCCUUAGAUUAGUUUCAUAAAUAAGUCUAUAGUUUAAUUAAGUAACAAUCCACCGAGAGCCAAGCCAUUAGUUUGGGUACCCUAGUUCAAUUAGGAUUUUAGGUGAAUUAUAACAAAUUUAAUUAAUAGACUAAUUUAUUAUAAGUUUUAAAAUAUUAAUUAUUAAUAUUUAAGAACUCUUAAUUCCUUAUUAGAAUUCUCCAAUCCUAGUUAUCUGUCAUUACCUUGUAUUUGUAAACCCUUAUUGCAUGUGAUCCAUUAGGCUUCUACAUAUGUUGGCCAUAACUUUACCGAAUAAAGCCAUAGACCAUAAACAGAGUCUAGAAAUCCAUCAUGGCCCCUAAUUGGUAGAGGGAUCAAAUUAUGAUCACUGUCUUUCAGUAAUGAUUUUCUCAUGCAAUUUAAACCCUUCAUCGGUUUAAAAUGUCUCAAUUAAGUAGGGACAUGGAUUGUGUGUCAAUUUCCAUUCAAUAUUUCUUUGGUUCCCAGAAAGUAUAGUUUCCAUAGUAUCACUAUCCUGCUAUGGCCAUAGAUUUAUAAGUUAUAUUUCCCCAAAUGAAACAUAUCUCUAAAAUUAAGGGUUGAUGAAUAUUGUAUUGGCUCACACAUAGCCUUUGCAUGCUUCAUCAUGUUGUUUUUUGUUUCCCAACGAGGCCCAAGGCUAUGAUUAAGAUUCGGGUUUAUCUUCAUAGAUUUCAUCCUGGGAUUGAAGUAUAGUCCAAAAUACCACCCAUUGGCAGCCCAUUAAAGAAGUCAGGCCAUAAACCCUUAAUUAAGUAUUUGGAGGAGAAAUGGGCUGAGCCCAUUUGCUCAAGGCUUAAAGAAGCCCAAGCCCAAGCCAAAUUGCUCCCCAGUCGUGCCCUAGCACCGUCAUAUAAAAGCCCCUUUCUGCUUUCUUGUUGCCUUUAUUUGACGGCCGAUUCUCUCUCUUUCUUGGCUCACCCGAUUGCUUUCCUUGUAAGGCCGAUCCGAUGUGUUCCCCCUUCUCUCUCAGUCUGAUCUGUCUUUCCUUGUGGAUGACUUGGACGAUCCAUGGGGGUUCCCUAUUAAUCCAUUCUGAUGGUCUCUUUUUGAAGGUAAGCUUUUAGUCACUUCUCUCGAGUCCCAUAUCUUCGUGAUUGUUCUUCUUCUUGUUCCUUGGUGGAUCUUGCUGUGAACGUAACCUAUAUGGUUUUGGGUAAGAGAUUUGGUGUUCUGGCCGAUAGGGUUUGGGCUCCGAUUUGGGGGUUCUCGUGGCUUGGAUCUUGUGUGCUUCCGUGAGGCUUGGUGUCCUUAUUUUUUGGAGUUACUUGGGUGGUACAAACUGGACAGAUUCAGAUUUGAGCCUUGAAAAGAUAUUUUACAGGGAGUUCUCUUUGUUUACUCUUUUGUGAUCUUGAUUGUUUCGAUAUUCUUUUAGAUUUUACUUAUAUUUUGUUCUAACCCUUUGUUUUGGUAAAUGUUCUCCUGCAACACAUCAUAUACCCAAUCACUACCUUACUCACACUUCUUAUUGAGAUGCGUCCUUAAUAGUGUCAAACUAUACGAAUCUAUAUGCAAGACACGGUAGUGACCUCAAGUUGAAGGAUUACUUGCACAACGAUCACUAGAGAUUUCUUUAGACACUCUUGUAAGAUCCAUAAGGAAUCAUUUUGUUCAGGUCAGUCUAGUGAACUUGUACUCACCAACAAACACUCGUGUAUUAGCUUAGGUAUCCCAUAUCCAUACUCUGUAAGAUCAACUAUUACCUUUCCUAAAGAUAACAACAUAGCGCAUAUCGGUCUUUCUAUGUCAUUAAUGUCCUGUCUCAAUGACACUUUUGACCAAGGACAAGUUUAAUGUUUUACUCCUGAGUGUAUCAAAGACUUUACAAUUGAAAUCACACUGUAGAGUAAACCUAGCGACUUUGUCAUUUGGCAUGUUAUAUUUAAGUAAUUGCUGAAUGAAUAAAUAAAUAUAAAAGACAAACCUUACCAAUAGAUAAUAUGAACAUGAAACAACUAAAUAUAUUACUGUUGUCAAAAUACAACAAUUGAAAAUUCUUUAGGGCGAGGAAAACUGUCGUCUAGAGUCGUGUAAGAUGUCAAUGUUCGAAAGUGGCCGCUGUAAGAGCUCUCUCGAAGAGGGCUUCCCGAGAGAAGAGGUUGCGGAAGGGUUGAAAAGGUUUCUCGGAGAGGUUGUCCCUUGGGAGGGUAGACUGGUCGGGUGCUCGGUUUUUGUAGACGGUUCUCAAAAAGGGUUUGAAACACCUUUCAGAGAGGAAUUAAUCGGCUUCCGAAAAGAGUCUGGGCCUCUUUCAGGAAGGUAUUUCAAGGGCCUCGAAAAGAAUAAACACUAUAAGAAAUUAGGCUUCUUGUGAUAAAUUAUUUUGCCACAAGAACUAUAAAAAUUGUCACAACAUACUUAUUAUGACGAAAUUGAUUUGUCACACAUUAGUCACAACAAGCUUGUCUUAAUAAGUAUAUUGUGACAAAAUAGAGUUUUGUCACAAUAUCACCAAUUUUAUUGUGACAAAGAGUAUUUUGUCACUUAAACGACCUUAUCAAUUCAAUAUCAAUUCUUAAUGUAUUGAGUACACCUCAACACUUAAGAUGUAGGACAUACACUAACGACAUCAGAUCUUAGUAUAUCAAGUACUACUUAACACUUAAAUUAUAGAGCGUACACUAAUGGUAAAAGACUUGAAAAGUGUCAAGUACUUCUAAGAUGUAUGGCAUACACUAACAUCAAACACUAACAACGUAGAUGAGCCUCGCAAAAGCUACUGUAAAAUUUUUAUAAAACUAAAUGGGUUUUGAAAGGCCCAAAUCAGUCUCCUCAUGGUUGACCUACCAUCUCCACCAACACCCCUCCCUUGGGACCUUAAGCCUUGUAGACGUAGUACUUGCUCACAACCAAGAAGAAAACGAAAUUUAAGAUGUUAAGAAUGCAGAAAAACGCGUAGUAGUAGUCGAGGUGAGAAGCAUUGAGGUUAUUCAGAAUCCACCCUCUGUGACCAUGCUUCUCUGUGAUGUGAGCAACAGUUGAAAGAAGGAAGCUGCUGAGGAAGUUCCCAACUCCUACCGUAAUCAUCGCAUAGGAAGUUCCGAGACUCUUCAUGCUCUCGGGUGCUUGAUCAUAGAAAAACUCAGUCCUUGCCGGCUCUAGAAAUGCAUUAGCCGUUCCCAUGAGCACAAACUGAGGGACUAAGAUGAAUAUGGUUAGAGGAACUUGUCCUCCACUUGCAACCACGCCAUGAUCCUUGGCCACCUUUAGCCUGUACCUUUCCGUAAGAGAUGCAAUUAGCAUGACGAUGAUGGUGAGGACUAAUCCAAUCCCCAUUCUCUGAAGCAUACUGAUUCCCCGGGGAUUCUGUGUCCGUUUCCAUGUUUUCAUCAUCUUGACGAAGCACCGGUCAUAGAUCACCGUACAGACAAGCGUGGAGACUGUCACAAAUCCGGUUAGAUUGGCCGGGGGAAUUUUGAAGCCGCCAACAUUUCUUUCGAGUGUGGUGCCUUGUUUGACGAAAAGGGUGUUUAUUUGCGCGAUCAUUGUGCUUGGAACGAAUGUCGCGACUAGGAUCGGUAUCAUUCUCAGCAUCUGCUUUGUCUCCUCCACUUGAGUAACUGAGCAGAGCAUCCAUGGACUUGUAGAACCUGUUCUUACACUGGCUUUGCUGAGGAACCUGCAGAAGUACAUCUAUUAGAAGAAACAUGGGACUCAAUGUAAUGAAAUGUGUUCUGUGUUGAAUGAAUUAUUAUAUGGUUGUUCGAAUGAAUUAUUAUAUGGUUGUAGAACAGAGCUAUUUACAGAAAGAUUUGUAAAAGUGAUACCCCUAUAAUAUAAUUAAGAUUGGAACUCAGAAUGUCCUUUAACAUAACGACAAGGAUGGUAGCAACGGGAUAAUACUGGCCAAAAGCAUGACAACCGGCUUCAUUGUGGCAAUAUGUCAAACAUUUUGAGUGCAUUGAAAUUAAAUUCAUAUGAGCUGAAACAAA